UACGAAGGGUGCAAGCGUUACUCGGAAUUACUGGGCGUAAAGCGUGCGUAGGUGGUUUUUUAUGUCCGUUGUGAAAGCCCUGGGCUCAACCUGGGAAUGGCAGUGGAUACUAGAAAGCUAGAGUGCGGUAGAGGGUAGUGGAAUUCCCGGUGUAGCAGUGAAAUGCGUAGAGAUCGGGAGGAACACCAGUGGCGAAGGCGGCUACCUGGACCAGCACUGACACUGAGGCACGAAAGCGUGGGGAGCAAACAGG
rnacentral:rRNA from 1 species